AUGGGAAGCAUCCACCCAGCCCAGCAUUCCCUCAGUGGGUCCACCCCAGUCAUUCCAAGUCCUCGUGUGAGUCCCAAGCAUCAUUCCCGAUGCAGGCAGGAUUUGGAGUGCGGAAGGAAGCAGGGAUGGAACUGCUGUGCCCCAGCCGGGAACGGGAUGGAAGAGAGACCUUUAAUAGGUGUACCCCGGCCUCAGCCGAGCCGCCGGGUUGUAAAGCCGCGGAGCCACCGGCGCAGCGUCCCACUGGCUCUCAGAGCCCUUAAAUAUGUGAGGAAUGCUCGUCGCACCGCCCCUCGCCCCCGCACGCCGGCCCAGCUGCGCGGCAAAACACGCCGGGGCCGCGGCCGGACGAGAGGGGACCCCUCUGCACUGGGGGGUCCCCCUGGCCCCCCCGGGGGUCCGCCCUGCCCACAGAGCCCCGGGACGGGGGCAGGGUGUGAAGGCGGAAGGAUGUGGAGCAUCCCGGGGUUGGGGAGGCGGGGGGAGCAGCCGGGUCCUCCUGAGACCUCCGGGACAGCGGGGACAGGACGGAGGUGGAGCAGCCCCUCUCGUCCCCCCCCGCACGGGCGCAGCCCCUCUCCCGGUGCCCCUCGCCGGCGGCAGGAGAGAGGGAGCAGCCAGCCUGUAAAUGCCGGGGAGAGGAAUAUUUGCUUUCCCAGAGCACCUUCCGAGCAGCACAGCAGGCACAAAGCAGGAAUUCAAGCCUCGGAGGCCAGGCUGGGAGCCAGGCCAGAUCACGGCCCCUGUGCAGGGAAACUGAGGCACGGGGGGAUAGAGCCAGUCAGCACCACGGGGCACCCCCAAAGAGCCAGCCCUGCGCUCGGGUAUCGGUCACUGCCACCCCCCGCCUCCUGCUGCCUGGCUGGAGCAUCCUUGUCCCAGCUGGUGUUUUUGGGAGGCCCAGGGCUGUGCCAGCACCCUGCACCGGGCAUCCAGCAGCUGGGGAAGGCAGAGAGGCUCAAGCACAACAUCCAAGGCAGAGGGAUGAUCCCUAUCCCGAAUUCCCUUUGGUGCAAGGCACAUCCUCUCUCUGCCAACACUUCCCUGGGCACCCACAGCCAAAUUCCCUCCCCAGCCCUGGUCAUCGACAUUCAGGCUCCAAGCUCUUCGCCUGCUCCAGGUGAUGAAAUAAGCACCGUGGAGCCUCUAAUAAACAUCCCGGGCAGCAAAAAAAUUCCAGGGGCAGGAAAUGUCCAUCCAGGGGCAGGUUGGGAGUGGGAGGGAUGGUUGGAUCACUCCAGGGGAGCGCUUUCCUUCUGCUCCUCUUCCGUGACAGCAAACGGAGGAAAAAGCCUCCUGCAGGGCUCGGCGUGGAGGAUGCCAAAGCUGAGGCAUGCCGGAGCCCCGGGAUGGAAGGAGCCGUGUGCAGGGAGUGAGGUCUCCCCGCAUCCCCUCUCCAAAGCCAGGUCACCGAGGAAAACAUAUCCCGGGCCAACAGCACCAGUCCCUGUGAAAAGGAGAGCUGCUGGAAAGGAAAAUAUUUGGGAAUUGCUCUGCCAAGGGGAUGUCGGGGGGGGGUUGUUGUCACUUUGGAGCCUGGUGGCAGCGGGAAGGGGGAAUGGAGAUGGAGACGCACCCUGA
rnacentral:lncRNA from 13 species